ACAUCAAUAAGUAGUCGACCACGAUAAUUAAGAUCUGAAUCACGUGUUUGCGUUCUUGCAGCUAUUGCAUCUAAGAUUGCUUCCGGAGAAAUUAAUCCAGUUGGGCGAACAACAUUUAAAAGAUCCGUGAUUGAAACUAAGUUUAAUCGUACCUUAUCUACAAAAUUUGUCUAAUCAAUUGAAUAAUGUAUUAUAUAGAAAUUAUUCUGAAAAUAUAUUUAAAACAGAUUUUUUAUUUUUAAUGCUUUUAUAUUUACCUAACACAGUUUUGCCAUCUGCAUCAGGAUUUGCAUUUACCCAUGCUCGUACAGCUAAAAAGAUAUCAAUCUCUGGUGCAUAAAAGGAAUCUCUUGAGACAAGUUCAUUCAAAGCAUCAGCACUUAAUUGCAAAAAGCUUUCAUGUUGAAUUACUUCACAUGCAUGUUCAUCCAUGUAUUCAUGACAAACCUAGAACAGAUUAUUUUCAAAAUUCUAGUCGAUAAAGAAGUGCUGUGCCAAAUAUGAGGCAGACAUUUUUUAUAUUUAAUAUUUCUCUAAGAUAAUCUGAUAUAGAAGCUUCCAAUUCUGAAAAUCCAUAAAGAUGUGCUAAUCCAAGAAUAUCCAACACAACCUGAAAACAAUAAUAAAUUGUUCAUUAAAAAUGAUAAUGAAAAUAAGUGAUAAUUAAUACCUCUUCACGUCGGUCUGUAAGAGACAUUCGUCCUGUAUAUAUGUACUCAAGUAGGCCUUUAAACCCAGUCAAAUUAGCAUCUUUUAACUCAAUUUCAUGUUGUGUAGAUUCUUUUAAACCUCCAAACAAAAGAGCUCUGAAAUAUUGGCUACGUGCAGCUAAAAUGAUUUUGUGGCUAUUAAAUCUUUGUCCACCAACAAUUAAAGUUACAUCUGAAUAAUCGUCUGAGAGAUAGAGAGCACCAAUAUCCUCAGAAAGUGUGUUAAUAUGAUUUAUGUCACCAGAAAUUGGAUAUUCUACUGAUAUAUUUAAUUCAUGGUGAGAACUCAUUUUUUAGGUUUUGAUCUUUUAAAUACAAAAUUGUAAUUCCUUCUUCCCUAAUUAUUUUUCUUUUUUAAAAGCUUUUCCUUACUGAUAAAUAUAAUGCCCCGUCAACAUCGAGAUACGUUGAUAACAUAAUACUUCUUUCGAUAUUCAUGCAUUCACAUUAAUUAAGAAACAAAAAUUAGGAUCAAUUUUACAGAAACUUUAUAAUCAUUAAACAAUAAAAGCAAGGUUAAUUUUUAAUUUAAAUUUAAGGUUAAUUUUUAAUGUUUAAUUGUAUUUACAUGCUUGCAGUAUAUAUACUACGAUUUUGCGUUUAAAUUGCGCAUUUAACUUUUUUCUCUAUGGGUAAACAACUUCUAUAAAUUUAAAUAAAUCUGAGAGAAAUCACUAUAACGUAAAAAUAAAGUCACAUCCCAUUUAUAAAAAUAUUAUAUUUUACAUUUAAUUUUGUACUAUCUAUUUUUUACCAAUGUUAUCUAUUGAU
rnacentral:misc_RNA from 1 species